rnacentral:misc_RNA from 1 species
AAGUGUAGAAGCAGAGUAUCGAGCUAUAGCCUUAGCCACUUAUGAGCUUAUUUGGUUAAUUCAGCUUCUUUAGGAAUUAAAAUGUGGAGGUGACAAAGAAAUGAAGUUGAUUUGCAACAAUUAAGAAACGUUGCAUAUUACUUGAAAUCCCAUGUUUCAUGAAGGAAUGAAACCAAUAGAGAUAAACUGUCACUUUGUCACGUGGAAGAUUGAGUCGAAAUGUAUUGCUACUAGUUAUAUCUCUUCCAAUGAUCAGUUAGCAAAAAUUCUCACCAAAUUUCUCAAAGAAUCUAGGAUUGAUUACAUUUGUAAUA